rnacentral:rRNA from 1 species
UUCCGGUUGAUCCCGCCGGACCUGACUGCUAUCGGAUUGAUACUAAGCCAUGCGAGUCAUUGUAGCAAUACAAGGCAGACGGCUCAGUAACGCGUAGUCAACCUACCCUAUGGACGGGAAUAACCUCGGGAAACUGAGUAUAAUGCCCGAUAGAACACUAUACCUGGAAUGGUUUGUGUUUCAAAUGAUUUAUCGCCAUAGGAUGGGACUGCGGCCUAUCAGUUUGUUGGUGAGGUAAUGGCCCACCAAGACUAUUACAGGUACGGGCUCUGAGAGGAGUGGCCCGGAGAUGGGUACUGAGACACGGACCCAGGCCCUAUGGGGCGCAGCAGGCGAGAAAACUUUGCAAUGUGCGAAAGCACGACAAGGUUAAUCCGAGUGGUUUGUGCUAAACGAACCUUUUGUCAGUCCUAGAAACACUAACGAAUAAGGGGUGGGCAAGUUCUGGUGUCAGCCGCCGCGGUAAAACCAGCACCUCAAGUGGUCAGGAUGAUUAUUGGGCCUAAAGCAUCCGUAGCCGGCUCUGUAAGUUUUCGGUUAAAUCUGUACGCUUAACGUACAGGCUGCCGGGAAUACUGCAGAGCUAGGGAGUGGGAGAGGUAGACGGUACUCGGUAGGAAGGGGUAAAAUCCUUUGAUCUAU